GACAGAGGCCUCAAGCGUUAGGCGGAAUCACUGGGCUUAAAGCGUGUGUAGGCGGAUCGUUAAGUGUCUUGUGAAAUCCCACGGCUCACCCGUGGAACUUGCUGGGCAUACUGGCGAUCUUGGGCCAACUAGGGGCAACUGGAACAAGCGGUGGAGCGGUGAAAUGCGUAGAUAUCGCUUGGAACGCCAAAGGUGAAAACAGGUUGCUGGGGUUGUGCCGACGCUG
rnacentral:rRNA from 1 species